rnacentral:rRNA from 1 species
UACGUAGGGUGCAAGCGUUAAUCGGAAUUACUGGGCGUAAAGCGUGCGCAGGCGGUUAUGUAAGACAGGUGUGAAAUCCCCGGGCUUAACCUGGGAACUGCAUUUGUGACUGCAUAGCUAGAGUACGGUAGAGGGGGAUGGAAUUCCGGCGUGUAGCAGUGAAAUGCGUAGAUAUGCGGAGGAACACCGAUGGCGAAGGCAAUCCCCUGGACCUGUACUGACGCUCAUGCACGAAAGCGUGGGGAGCAAACAGG